rnacentral:rRNA from 1 species
UACAGAGGGUGCGAGCGUUGUUCGGAAUUAUUGGGCGUAAAGCGCUUGUAGGCGGCACGUCAAGUCGCGUGUGAAAUCCCCAGGCUUAACCUGGGAAGUGCGCGCGAAACUGACGAGCUUGAGUGCCGGAGAGGGUCGCGGAAUUCCCGGUGUAGAGGUGAAAUUCGUAGAUAUCGGGAGGAACACCAGUGGCGAAGGCGGCGACCUGGACGGACACUGACGCUGAGACGCGAAAAGCGUGGGGAGCAACAGGG